rnacentral:tRNA from 1 species
UCCCUGGUGGCUCAGAGGUUAAAGUGUCUGCCUCCAAUGCAGGAGACUCGGGUUCGAUCCCUGGGUAGGGAA